rnacentral:lncRNA from 1 species
CUCCUGAAUUUCUGGAGCCCUGAAGACCACUUAGUCUUACUCACAAGAAUUGAAUGGAAUGUGAAUCUACACUCAGGUGAAGCCAGGGUAUUUUGAACGUCCCUACAAGACUGAAGCACCACUGGGAAAUAAGUAAUAGAGAUGCCAUCAUUGUGGAGGUCAUAAUGCUUGUCCUGAACACGAGGGGUCUCUAGUGAGGCACCAAUUCAGCUCCUCUUCUGUGGAGAGACUACAUGGGUGCUGAAGAAACAAAGACACAACGCAGCUCCUCUCAAAGGAGUUCAGAGCUUAGCAGGGGAGACAGAACCAUGAAUGCAUAGUUACGCAUCAAUGUGCUGCACGAGCACUGAAGCCCAAGCACAAGCGGCCUGAGUCCCAGUGAUGCUGUACUUAAUUUUGUCACACUUGGAGAUCAUCCC